ACACAAUCAUCGCCUUGGAAGCUUCAUCACGAUACUACUUUGCAUUUCUGAAGAGGGAAGAAGAAAUCAAUGUGCAAAUUCAAUUCCUUGGUUUUGGAAGUCCCAUUGAGAACACGAUUCAUUUGCGCCGGCAAAAUGCUCUGACCGAGAAAGAAUUGAAGGACCACGCUGAGUGUUGUUAUCCCGAUAGUUCUUUCAUAUCAGUCCGUGUGUAUUCCUGGGCGAACGUGCUCGUGUGGUCUCAGGAGUUGCGGAGGUCACGGCUCUGGGACAGCUGUUUCCUCGCCCUAUGCUGCAGAACCUACCCCGGAAGAGAGAGCCCAGAGAAUUGCCAAAGCUGUCCGCAAACAGUCAACAGAAGUGAAGGAAAAUUGGGAGCAAUUGAAAACCCGUGCGAGCAACUGGCAGAAACAGGUGGAAAAGGCGUUGGAGAAACUUUAAGAACUGCAGAAAGCUCUGGAUGAUCUUGAGGCUCAUGUGAUAACAGCUGAGGGGGUCCACACUGAUUGGCAACCUGUGGGUGACCUGCUUAUUGACUCAUUGCAGGAUCACAUUGAUAAAACCACAGGUGAGGACUAUCUGCAAAAUCUGAGAUUGGGUUUUGAAAGACAGCAGCCUUUGUUUUGGAGAGAUAAUGGGAACUGCAGAUGCUGGAGACCGCGAGAUAACACCGUGUGGAACUGGAUGAAGACAGCAGGCCAAGCAGCAUCUCAGGAGCACAAAAGCUGACGUUUCGGGCCGAGAACCUUUUUCAGAAAAUGGGGAGGGGGUGCGGGUUCUGGAAUAAAUAGGGAGAGAGGGGGAGGCGGAUGGAAGAUGGAUGGAGGAGAAGAUAGGUGGAGAGGAGAGUAUGGGUAGGGAGGCAGGGAGGGGAUAGGUCAGUCUGGGGAGGCCGGACAGGUCAAGGGAGCGGGAUGAGGGGAAAUAGGGGUGCGGCAUGAGGUGGGAGGGGGGAUGG